rnacentral:lncRNA from 1 species
UUUCUUUCUUUCUUUCUUUCUUUUUCUUCCUUUCUUCCUUUCUUCCUUUCUUCCUUUCUUCCUUUCUUCCUUUCUUUCUUUCCUUCUUUCCUUCUUUCCUUCUUUCCUUCCUUCUUUCCUUCUUUCCUUCUUUCUUUCCUUCUUUCUUUUCUUUUUUGGCCUGAUGGGAACAGAGCAAAGAGCAAGAAGCAAAGGAUUAAAUCACAUCAGAAAAUUGUUGGAUAUAUCCCUUUGCUCAAAGAAAUGGCUUGUUCUCUGCUCCUGAGAUAUUGGUGAAAAGCUGUAAUUAAG